rnacentral:rRNA from 1 species
UACGUAGGGGUGCGAGCGUUGUCCGGAAUUACUGGGCGUAAAGAGCUCGUAGGCGGUUUGUCGCGUCUGCUGUGAAAACUGGAGGCUCAACCUCCAGCCUGCAGUGGGUACGGGCAGACUAGAGUGCGGUAGGGGAGAUUGGAAUUCCUGGUGUAGCGGUGGAAUGCGCAGAUAUCAGGAGGAACACCGAUGGCGAAGGCAGAUCUCUGGGCCGUGAACUGACGCUGAGGAGCGAAAGCAUGGGAGCGAACAGG